rnacentral:rRNA from 1 species
CGAACACUGGCGGCGUGCUUAAAACAUGCAAGUCGUACGAGAGCUUCGGCUCGAGUGGCAAACGGCUGAGUAACGCGUGGGUGACCUGCCUCGAAGUGGGGAAUAACUGCCCGAAAGGGUGGCUAAUACCGCAUGUGAUGGAUCGUUCAUUCGGUUCAUUAAAGCAGUAAUGUGCUUCGAGAGGGGCCCGCGUCCGAUUAGCUAGUAGGUGGGGUAACGGCUCACCUAGGCGACGAUCCCUAGCUGAUCUGAGAGGAUGACCAGCCACACUGGAACUGAGACACGGUCCAGACUCCUACGGGAGGCAGCAGUGGGGAAUAUUGCACAAUGGGCGCAAGCCUGAUGCAGCCAUGCCGCGUGUAUGAAGAAGGCCUCGG